UACGAAGGGGGCUAGCGUUGUUCGGAAUUACUGGGCGUAAAGGGCGCGUAGGCGGUGUGUCAAGUCAGGCGUGAAAGCCCCGGGCUCAACCUGGGAACCGCGCUUGAGACUGGCACGCUCGAGUUCGGGAGAGGAUGGUGGAAUUCCCAGUGUAGAGGUGAAAUUCGUAGAUAUUGGGAAGAACACCGAUGGCGAAGGCAGCCAUCUGGACCGACACUGACGCUGAGGCGCGAAAGCUAGGGGAGCAAACAGG
rnacentral:rRNA from 1 species